AUGAAGAUGAAAAUAAAUGGAAAAACACUGAAUGAUGAAUUAGAAAUUAUCGAAGGCAUGAAAUUUGAUCGAGGCUAUAUUUCUCCAUACUUUAUUAAUACAUCAAAAGGGCAGAAAUGUGAAUUCCAGGAUGCCUAUGUUCUGCUGAGUGAAAAGAAAAUUUCUAGUGUCCAGUCCAUUGUACCGGCUCUUGAAAUUGCCAAUGCUCACCGUAAGCCUUUGGUCAUAAUCGCUGAAGACGUUGAUGGAGAAGCUCUAAGUACACUCGUCUUGAAUAGGCUAAAGGUUGGUCUUCAGGUUGUGGCAGUCAAGGCUCCAGGGUUUGGUGACAAUAGAAAGAACCAGCUUAAAGAUAUGGCUAUUGCUACUGGUGGUGCAGUGUUUGGAGAAGAGGGGUUGACCCUAAAUGUUGAAGACGUUCAGCCUCAUGACUUAGGAAAAGUUGGAGAGGUCAUUGUGACCAAAGACGAUGCCAUGCUCUUAAAAGGAAAAGGUGACAAGGCUAAAAUUGAAAAACGUAUUCAAGAAAUCAUUGAGCAGUUAGAUGUCACAACUAGUGAAUAUGAAAAGGAAAAACUGAAUGAACGGCUGGCAAAACUUUCAGAUGGAGUAGCUGUGCUGAAGGUUGGUGGGACAAGUGAUGUUGAAGUGAAUGAAAAGAAAGACAGAGUUACAGAUGCCCUUAAUGCUACAAGAGCUGCUGUUGAAGAAGGCAUUGUUUUGGGAGGGGGUUGUGCCCUGCUUCGAUGCAUUCCAGCCUUGGACUCAUUGACUCCAGCUAAUGAAGAUCAAAAAAUUGGUAUAGAAAUUAUUAAAAGAACACUCAAAAUUCCAGCAAUGACCAUUGCUAAGAAUGCAGGUGUUGAAGGAUCUUUGAUAGUUGAGAAAAUUAUGCAAAGUUCCUCAGAAGUUGGUUAUGAUGCUAUGGCUGGAGAUUUUGUGAAUAUGGUGGACAAAGGAAUUAUUGACCCAACAAAGGUUGUGAGAACUGCUUUAUUGGAUGCUGCUGGUAUGGCCUCUCUGUUAACUACAGCAGAAGUUGUUGUCACAGAAAUUCCUAAAGAAGAGAAGGACCCUGCAAUGGGUGCAAUGGGUGGAAUGGGAGGUGGUAUGGGAGGUGGCAUGUUCUAACUCCAAGACUAGUAGUGCUUUACCUUUAUUAAUGAACUGUGACAGGAAGCCCAAGGCAGUGUUCCUCACCAAUAACUUCAGAGAAGUCAGUUGGAGAAAAUGAAGAAAAAGGCUGGCUGAAAAUCACUAUAACCAUCAGUUACUGGUUUCAGUUGACAAAAUAUAUAAUGGUUUACUGCUGUCAUUGUCCAUGCCUACAGAUAAUUUAUUUUGUAUUUUUGAAUAAAGAACAUUUGUACAUUCCUGAUAAUGGGUACAAGAGCCAUGUACCAAUGUACUGCUUUCAACUUAAAUCACUGAGGCAUUUUUACUACUAUUCUGUUAAAAUCAGGAUUUUAGUGCUUGCCACCACCAGAUGAGAAGUUAAGCAGCCUUUCUGUGGGGAGAGAGAAUAAUUGUGUACAAAGAGAAAUAUCCAAUUAUGUGACAACCUUUGUGUAAUAAAAA